ensembl:lncRNA
AUCCUGCUCAACCAGUUCCCAAGUAAUUCAGUGCUAUUGCGGGGUCAUGCAACCACCAUUGAGCCCACACGUAGAGCAUUCUAAGUUAAUCUGGUCUGGCAGGCACGCUUUCCCAUAGCCCUACAGCUCUUGUGAAAGGACAUGUGCUGAUGUCCCCUGCCUCUGAGUGGCUCAUGAGGUUGCUGAAGGAGGGACGGUUGUUUUUCUGCCAAAGACAUCCCCCAUUUCCUGGAACUGCUCUGCAAACGCAGAGCUAUGCUAUGACCUUGUUAAAGUCCAGAGUGUUGUGUUUUUUUCAUAAGGAGUCGGGUAAAUGAGGGUAAAAGAGGGAGUAAAGGGGAGUGAAAUGGAGGGUAAAGAGGGAGCAGAUGCAGAUGGCUAGAGAAAACUCAGAUGAAUAUUCCCUUAUUCCACAGAAAGCAUCUUUAGUCCUCAUGGAGCUGAUGCUUUCUGAGCAUGGGGCUUAGCCUCAGACUCCCUCAGGAAGGGAAGGACGUGCAUCCUGCCUGUCCUGUGCAUACGGUGUUCCUCUCCAUGGACUCUUUCCAAGGUGUUGGUCUCCAGAAUGCUCCUGGCUCUGCUCUUCUUGGAAGCAAUGGUGAGACAUCUGUCAGUGUGAGCCCAUAGAGGGAAGCUGAGGUAGGUCACUUUGUAGUCAAUUCAGCUAACUUUUUCUCAAGUCUGAAUUAUCUCAAGGAAAAAUAUAGUUUUGGGUUUUCUGGAUGUGGUCCCAGCCCUAUUUCUGCAAAUGUGGCAUCUCUCAGUUAGGAGAGGGCAGUGCGAGAGUGGGGUGAGGCAGCAGGUCCCUUGCAAGCUGGUAUGCCACCAGAUCAUGCAGAUGGGUCAGGUUUUGUGCCAUGUUCAGGUUAAUGCUUUGCAAACACUAGGUCCAGACAAGAAGCAGUAGCUCCAAUAAUGUUUAAACGAGCUUAAAAUCUGGAGAUGAGAUCUGUAGGCCUUGUGCAAGGAGCAGGACAGUGGAGCACCCAGAAGUGGAUUUAAGACAUGUAGCUGCUUUGUUCUGGGCUUUGUUGAAACAGACUGCCCCGGGAGGUAGUGGAGUCACUGUCCCUGGUGGAGUUCAAGAGCAGUGGAGAUGCGACGCUGAGGGACGUGGUCAGUGGGCAUGGUGGGAUGGGCUGGGGUUGGAUUUGGGGAUCUUAGAGGUCUUUUCCAACUUUAAUGAUUCUGUGAUUCUAUGAUUAGAAGAAGGUGGAGCAGUCACAGGGCUCCCAUGGUUCAGAAUUUGUCUGAGAUCUCUCAGUGUCCCCAUGCUGAAGGGCAGUGCUUGUGCUGGGAUGGUUGGAGCUAACCUGAGAUCCUCCCCAGGUGCUGUGGUGUGGUGCAGGCUGCAUUGGCAGAGGAGGUGCAAUGGGCAAGCAACAAAGUGCAGGAUGGGCCCUGAAAUGCCCUGGGACAUUGGUUUGCCAAACUUCUGUGUCAGUGGUACUGUCAACAAUGUCCUGCCAAGAAGCAUCAGCAGGCAUGCAGCUGAGAUUUCCCUUCCCCCCCCCUCCUUUUCUUUCAUUCUAUUACUCCUGUUAAAUUCUCUUCACUGCACUCACUCUAAUGGUGCCUCAUUUGGUUUAUGUCCUUCAAACUCUUCCCUUUAAACACGUAGUCAUCACUUAGCUAAACUACUGUAUACAAAUAUAGCUCUUUUGAUCUUCCUACGUAAAUCAAUACCUCCUGCCCUUUAAUCUUCCUAGUGGCUUUCUCUGAACUCCCUGCAAUUUACUAUCCAUCUUUGAAAGUAAGUUGUCUUUUGGGCUUGAUUCUCUACAAUUUCAAACCUCCUGAAGUCCCAAUAGCUGCCCACAGCAGGUGCACACGGUGGUUCUCCACCACUCUGUUCAUGCUGAAGUAAUGCAAACACUUGCAUACAAGGCAUUUCAUGUCCCCCUGGGUUGGUGUGGCUCCCCAUGCCAGAAGUGAGUGGUCAUGCAGCACAAGCCCAUAUUUUCAAAGUAGUUCUCACAGGAUGCUAAAAGCCAUGGCGCAAGCCAUUGGGUGCCAUUUGGGGUUGAAGGAGAGUUGUAAUGGUUAGUUAUGGAGAGGACUUUCUGCAGUUAUUGGUGGCUGUAGAGAUGAAUCUCAUCUUCUCCAUAGCAGUAGAGCCUGUAGAUGCAAGCAAGCAAGCCCAAGAUAAAGAUUUGUCCCCUGAGAGUGGGCAAUGUAUGUGUCCCUUCCUUCACAGGACAGCUCACCUUACCUGGCUGCAGGUGGGACCUUUUGAUGGGGCUAGACCAUGGGCUCAGCAGGAAACCAGACCUGGAAGCCCAUCCAGGGUACAUGUCAUCUCUGUGCAGGGAAGGGUUGCCUUGUCAGCUGCUUUGCAGUGCCAGGAGCUCUGAGAAAUAACCUUGUGCCUUGCUUUGAUGCAAGUGUCAGACACAAGUCCAGCGCACUCUCUAACCCAUGUGUCCAGUCUGCUGGUUGUAUUAUGUUUAGUAAAUAAGGUUGUCACUGGAGUGGUCUCGAGGGCAAGAAUUAAGAAAUCUCAUAGGGAUUGAAGAGACAAUUGUACAGUUCUCCCCGUCCUUGCCUUGACAGUUACCUCCAGUUUUCCCCUGGGACCAUUCCACUCUUGAACUGGGAAUGCUGUGAUUCAUAGAAUCACAGAAUCACCAAGGUUGGAAAAGACCUCCGAAAUCAUCCAGUCCAACCACUCACCUACCCCCAGUAUUUCCCCACUAAACCAUGUCCCUCAGUACAACGUCUAGACGUUUCUUGAACACCUCCAGGGAUGGGUCUCAACCACCACCCUGGGCUGCCCAUUUAAAACCAUUGCAGUAAAUGUCUUUUAUUCCCCCUCAUCUUUCAAAGGGAGGGUUUAUAAUAGCAAUAACCCCUUCUUUUAGCAAUAACCCCUUCUUUUAGCUUUUCAUUAUGGGUCAAAUAAAAGCAUAUCAGAGCACGAGACAGAGAAUCUCACCACUCUCCUUGCCCCCAAAGGAUAAACAUAGUAGUGCUGCUACGGGCCCUAUAGCUUAAUUAGUUGCUAUUCUCUGCAGUUCCAAAAAAGGAUGAAAAAAAUCCUUUGCAAAGCCUAGGCAGGCUGUCUGUGUCAUAUUUCCUGUGUUCUUAGAGGUGUUAAUGAAUUCAUUAAUCACUUAAUGGCAAGGAGGGUCUUUGGGGACCAGCACUGCAAUUUACUGCUCCCAGGAGGCAGACUCUGUCACUGAUCUAAAGUUUCAGCUCCGCUAAUUUGUGCCAGCAGAGCCGCUGAGCUUCUGCCUGCAGCCCGCAAGCAUUGUGGCUACUGGGAGCAUCACAGCAGCACGCAAAGCAUCAGGGUAUGCUCACUUGGGAAGGUUUUGCAACGCGCAACGUUCUGGCUCUGAAAAGUUCAGAGCCCACAUGGAGGCAAGGAGGUGUUCCCCCAGCCUUGCAGUUGUGUUGCCUUAAUUCUUUUCAUUGGGAUAAGCUUGCUGCUAAGCCAGUCCUUGCAAUCAACUGGGGAAUGCAGCAGGAGCCUUGCUGACUUACAGGAAAUGCAAGCUAUGGAAGCGUGGCUGUAUAAUCUGGUCUGGGACUGCAGGCUAUGCAAUGAAAGGAGUCUGUGAAUCUCUUCUAAUUGAAGAAUACAUCAGGCUGAUGUAUUUUGACUGAAACUGUCAGUUAAAAUGUGAAUUUGAAUGUUUGCAUUUCUGCUCUGCAGAAAAUGUUGAUUAUUUCAGUCUCUCGCCCUUGUUGCAGGAGAGUCACUUGUGUCAAAGUUCCCUACAAAAUGUCUCUUUUGGCUUCUUUCUCAUCACACGGCAGUUCAAGGAGAGGGGGACGUGAGCAGAGCCCUCCUCUCCGCUAAUUCCAUUCCACCAGCCUGUCAUCACGUUGCAAUUGCCGCUUCUAAAAGGUUUUUCUGCCUUGCUUUUCUGUGGCUGAGCUCCCCUUUCUAACUUCUGUCCGUCUUUCUCCUCGGUCUGUUGCUUUCCCAGGCUGGGAGUCAAAGAGGGCAAAGUACGUCAGAUGUGAGUAGGAGGGAGGGCAGAGUCCAUGGGUCAUGGCUGUCUGUGUGUGUGCACGUGCUCACCUUCCACCGCUGGUACCCUCCUUGGAGUCAUUCCCACACUCAUGUUCUUUGCUCAACAGUUACUGUAGGGAGGAGAGAGCUGGAAGGCAGGACAGAAGCUACAUGUUGAAUCAAAGGAGAGAAGGCGGGAAUACAAAACCACUUCAUCGUGGAAAACACAAAGGGAGACAAUUUCAGUAAAUGCCAGAUGGUCAAAAUUAACCAGAGACGUGUAGAGCCCUACAUGUCCAACUGUUUGCUUUGGCAGAGAUUCUUCAGCUUUUCGAACAAGAGUCUCUGGGGCGCCCUUUUCUUCUCCUUGGCUUUCCUCCUCUCCUUCGCUCAUCCUUUGGACUCCUCACCCCACCCUUCUCCUCUGGCUGUUUUUCCUGCCUCUCCUCUCUCACUGCUGCCCAUGAGUCAUGUUGCACCUCAAAUGCCAGCUUGUGUUACGGUGAGGGGAGACCACUGCAAAUAAAUGUCCUCAUGCAACAACAGACUUGGAGGGCAUGCAAGGUGGUGGCUGCAGCUGUCAAGGACCACUGCCAUCACAGCCCUGUGGAAAUGCUGGAGCACUUCAACCCUGUGCUUGUUGUUGCUGUGGGUAUUAAUUUCUUCCUCUCCUCCCAAGGGCCUUGACUCAGCUUUGAUUUUUUUUUGUUUCAGCCAGGAAUCCAGAAGGAGUUCUUGCGGUUCAGUAAGCAGAGGAGCAUGCAUAAGUUGCUUACCCUGAUGGAGCAGUGGGAUGUAGUCUUGGUGGGGCAGGGGGAUGCAGCCUUGUUGGGGCAGUGGGACAUGUCCUUGUUGGGGCAGUGGGACAUGGCCUUGCUGGGGCAGUGGGACAUGGCCUUGCAGGGGCAGUGGGAUGUAGUCUUGCUGGGCAGUGGGCCAUGGCUGUGUUGGUGCAGAAGGAUGCUGUCUUGUUGGGGCAGAGGGACACGGCGUUCUUGAAUCCAAGCCAACUGCAUGGCAUGUUCCUCCAAACAAUGCAAUCAAGAGGGCCCUUGUAUGGCACAGACGGAGAGCUCCAGCUAACGACGGGCUCUUUUGUGUGCGCGUGUGCUCUCUGCAUUCGAAACAUUUAUUAUUCCAAAUUGCCUUCUGCACAUUUUACAAUAAUUACGACUAGUGUUUGCCUUGUUAUCUCCACAGUUACUAACAAGAAUGCCAUCAUUAUUCCAGUCAUUAGCAAAAUGGAUGUUGUUGUCCAGAGUUGCCGGCUGUGGGCCUGCUUUCAGAAGGAGUCUCAUGCUCUCCAACCUUGCCUACUCCAUCUUUCUUCCAGGGGAAUAUUGUUGUUCUCAGUAGGUUUGAACCUGAGCGGGCGGAGGGGAAGCAGAGAUUUCAUGAAGAAGAAUUGCUUUGAGGGAGUGCUGGUGGGUGUCAGGAUUCGCAGCAGUGAGCACUGGGAAUCUGUUAAUGGCAACAUUAGUAGGAACGAGAGUAAAGGCAGCCAUUUGCCCGUGUUCCUUGUGUAUUUGGUGUAUCUUAGGUCUGCUCCUGCUGCUAGGAUCCAGUACCUCUUCCUGUAAGAAUGUGUUGCUUGGAUGUGAAGAGAUGCUAUCGAUCUUACAAUGGAGGUUGCAGAUGAAGGAGAAAAGGUUGGAAUUAAGCCGACAGCACUCAGCUGCUGUAAGAGGAGGGAAGAGGAAGGAGAUUUGUAAUCCAGAAGCCUUCCAGUUCAUGUUCCAACGAAAAUGGAGAACUUCAGAUUUCAAGUCUCGUGUAUCCUUUUCUUGAAAUCUACCAAAAAUAUGUACAGGUACCUGGUGACCACACGAAGCAGUUUGAUUUGGAAUAAUGUGUUUCAUACAAAGUCAGACUGUGGUUUGUUCUCAUUUUGGUAAAAAGGAAAAAAAAAGUAUUUUAUUAUACUUGGGGGAACCAGAGCUGUUGGUUAUCUAACUCACUAUGAGACUCCAGAGAAAGGAUCUGAUUUGCUUAGUGUGUAAAGACAAUAUGCACAAACACGGAGGCAAAUAGCAAGAAAGGUUUGUUUGUUUUCCCCCACAUGCUGAUGUUUGGAACUGUGACAUUCUUCCAUGGUUCGUCCUGAUGAGGCUUGGUUCCGUACUGCCAGGUUAACCAAGGAAUCACACUGGUUGUCCUUAGCUUAUAUAGCAAGCAAGGGAAAAAUAUAGGCAUUUUUUUUUCCUCCUUUCUAAAUACAAAUUAUUAAUUCAAAGAGAGUGGUAUAACUAUUCCCUGAUAUCUCACUUAAAUGCUAGCUAGCAGGCCUUUCUCGGUUCUACUUCUGAAAGAAAAACAAUUUUCAAUAGAAUUGUAUUUGUUGAAUGCUGAUUAAACUAAAUAGUAGAGUUUAUGUGGAAAAUAAGGUAGAAAAUUACAUGUGUGACUUACUGAUUUAAACUUUUGUGUAUCUUAGAAAAACAUCACCAGAUUAAACCGUGGCAGUGAUUAAAUAUAAUUCAUAAUACAGAUAAGAGGAUGAUGUUGCUUGUAAUGAAAGAAGAACUUUUCAUGUUUUACCAAACUUGGGUUACAAGAGAGCAAAUAAGACACACAUACAAGGAAAGACCCAAAUCUGCGACAGCACACGUCGUAUGUCUGUAUAUUCAAUUACCCCAACAUGUAAUAUGUAAAAGAUAGUAAGAUCUCCAAGUCUUGUGUCUAGUCAAAAGAAAAGGUGAACUCUGCUUCAGCUCAGCCCCUGAGACAAAAUUAGGGCAAUCUGGGUGAUCGGAUAGCCCAGAUUCAGAAAGGUGCCUAAUUCUUGGCCCGAAUCAUAGCACUCUUCUGGUUUGGGACAUCUAUAGAAGGCAAUCAGAUCCUCAGUACUUAUGGUUCCCAUCGAGAAAACCUGUUCUACUCCAUUCCUCCUCUCUGCCUUGCAGUGUGUGUUUCCUGUAGCAGCUUACUAAGCCUUGUAGCCUGGUUUCAUCAGCAUGCUGCUGAUAUGCAGCCCUACGCUGUCAGCUGAUACGACCCUGACCUCACAGGUACUGCGACCUUGUGCCUAGACAUCAGGCAUCUUUUGGUGGCUGAAACUCAGAUUAAGAUGGUGACAAUGGUGAGAGCUGGAGAAACUGCUUUACAUUUGCAGCUAUGAAUGAGGACAAACUGGAUUAGGGGUAAUGGCAUAGGAGGGAGGAUUGGUUGGAAUGGUGGCAGUGAAUGGAGGUUUGCUGCCUUUAACCUUUCCAGUUCCGUGCAUUUACUUUGCAUGUCUGUGAUCUCCCAUUGUGGUACAGGAUUUGCAGUGAGUCUGGGUGCUGGUGGAGAGCAGGCAUGGAGCUGUGCUGAACAUUUACUAUGGAAUAAUAAGGGAGGGCUAGUGGCCUUUCUUUCAUCUUAAUAUGAGUCAGCCAUUACCAAGGGACAUGGGCAGAGCUUCAGUGUUCUCCACUGGAAUUGCUUGGCCAUUGUAAAAGAGGGCAAAAGCUGGAGCUUCGGUAGGCUUGGAGCUUCUGCAAAUUGAGCUGCAAUGCUCUAGUGAUUCAUUUUGGUCUUCAGAAAGUGCUCGCUCAUCUUUGAGGCAAUAAGCCCAACUCCAGAAUCUGAUAAAUCUAUUUACAAACCCUUAAAUCUGAUAAUCUACCUUGGCUGAUAAUCCCAGGUGCCUGAAAGGAGACAAGACUACCAUCUGUCGGCAGCGUUUGUCCAUCUGUAGGGUAACCAGUGCUACAGAGCCUCCCCUGUUGUCCUGCAAAGCUUUGCUCUGGUAUGUGUGUGUGGCCUGGGAACAUCUGAACGUAUCCUUUGAGGGGCAUUGGACUUAGUGACUUCAGCAUCCUGUACCAACCCAGUGCCUUACUACUCCCAUUAUAGCACUGGUAUAGCAUCACAGGGAGCAGAGACCCAGCUCCUGUCACGCUGGACUUUCCAUCCACCUCUGUAAGAGCUGUUCCUAAGAAAUUAUCCUUAAUUAAACAAGAUAAAGAGAAGAGAAGCAGAAUCCCUCUAAAGAGAAGCAGAGGGAUUAAAACUAGGGCUGAGGAGCUGUUUAUGCGGAGUCUCUCCAUGGGGGAUGUUCUUCAGUUUGUCUCAGCAUUCCAAGAGUCCUUUAAGUGAGAGGCUGUGGUUUACGGAGUCAACAGAUUUAAGCAGGCUACGAAUAUUAAUUAUUAAUUGCUCUUGGAGAGUGCUAUACAUUAGAUUGGUGAAGUAGUUAACAGCUAUGCCUUCUCCUCCCCACAGGCGCGCUCUUGCUGUCAGAUUUCUCUCCCCAGCUAAGACCCUGGUGCUAGAAUUAGGCCAGAAACUAUUUUCCAGUCGAGUGGCUUUUAAUGGGCUCUCCAGGAUUCUUCUUUGCAUCCUGUGAGCAAUGAGAUGUGUGGAGAGGAGAGAUGGUGGGAUUGAUUCAUACCGUAGGAAGUAAGAGAGAUUUAACUAAGUGGGGCUCAGUGCUGCUAGAGCUGCAGGAAGCCCUGUGGCAGUUGUAUCUUGCACUCCAGAAGCACCUGUUAAUUAUCCACUGCACUGGGCAGUGCUCUGGAGGAGCCCACCUGCAGGAGCCCACAGGGAAAUGGUAUUUCUGCUGAAAGGCAAGGCUGUGAUCUUUUGGGAUCUUCUCCAUCAGGAGUCCUAGGCAGCCUGAUCUAGUGUUUGACAGCCCUGCCCAUGGAGGGUGGGUUGAAACUAGAUGGCCCUUAAGGUUCCUUCCAACCCAAACCAUUGUGUGAUUCUGUGACCUUGGAUGGUGUACUGUUGGGCUCUCGUGGGCUCACACAGCUGGGGAUUCCUUAACCUCCUCAGCACUGGCAGCAUGUGUGAAGUGUAAUGAGCGUGAUGGUUUGGAGAUGGUUGUGUGUUUCAUAGAAUCCUUAGAGUUGGAAGGGACCUCUGAAGGCCGUCUAGUCCAUCUAGUUUCAUCUCCCUGCAGAUGUUGAGGAGGUGUCAUGGUGUGUCCCUUACUGCUUUUAAAGACAGUUCUCCCUUCCUUCCUGCAUCUCUUCUCCAGCCGGACAUUGCAGAAUGGUGGCUUGCAUGAAGCCAGAGGCCAGGCUCUACGGUCUGGAGCCUCACAGGGAGUCCUCCAAGUGAAGGAUGAGCCCUGAGCUGCAAGAGAGAUCUACUCCCACUAAACCAACCUCCCGAGGGGACUUACUUCGUUUGACUGGCUCCGUCAUCCUCAGGAGGAAACUUUCCUCUGCAAGAUGGUGAAAUAGUGCCCAUGUGGAAACGUUCUGACUGCAUGCGCCUGGAGUCCGGCAUUGUUGCAGAGGAGGAGAGCGGCAUAGGAUGGCUCCAAAGAAAAGAGGUCUGCAUCAGAAGGAAAACCUCCUGCCAUGCCAGCUUGCCCAGACCUAAUGGUGAGACGGCCUUUCCCAGCUACACUAAGGGCUGCUUCUUGUGGACUGGAAGUAUUGCCAAAGAGUGAGUGAUCCUUAUUAAUAUGCAUCUCCAAAAACAACAGGCAGUCUUGCACAGAUCCUCUCACACGUAUCUUUGGAUUUUGAGACAGUGGAGAGCUCUUUAUUCCCUCUCACACCAAUGUCAGCCAUAGCGCAAGAUGUCUUGAGCUGAUUAAAAAUCUCUUUAAUCAAAUGCUGGCAGGGGAAGUGUUCAGAACGUUAGAAGGAUGACUUUGACAAGCUGCCCCUGCACUGUGAGUGACUUCAUCCAGAGGUUGGCCCGGCAGGCUGGCGUGUGAUACAAAGCCUCCACUCACCUUGAUUUCCAAAGCUGCCAACAAACUGCAGUGACGAUGCUGAGAAGCCAGUAGGGCACUGUAGCCUGUGCUCAGUUCUUCUCCGUUAGAUACUGACCCCCCCCCCAAAAAAAACCUUUGCUACAGGCAAAAUCCAUCACUCGAUUCAUCAACCCCUACCUACGCUUCAAAUUCCUAUAUCCCAAAUCCAUGGGAACGAUUUUGAACAUGAAUGUAGGCUGGAAAUCAUUGCUGUGCAGAUUGUCUGGAGGCUUUUUUUUCCCCCCUGUUCUAUGGCUGAACUGGACUUCAAAAGAAUAAAUAAAAUCCAUUCUGGUAGCACCCCCUCUUCCCCCUCCAACCCCCCAGGAGGAGUGUACUUCUAUGGAGAAAGGACAUAAAGAAACCUCCUGAUAUUUUAUUCAACCAGAAUUAAGUGUUUUGAUUUUGGGGAAUUCAGCUAAUUUUCUUACUCCUCAAAAUAGGUCAGCUUUGAAAUAGAAGAUGUCACGCUGAAAGAAAAAAAAGGGGAAUAGAUUUGUUUAGUGAAUGUAAGAUUAUACAUACAUACUUCUGGAAUUUUAACAAGCUUAUGAAUGGAAAGAAAGCAUCCAGGUUGUUUCUCAGUCAGUUAGACUUGGAUUUAGGACCGGUUUUCACUCUCCAUAAACUGCAUUUCUUUUUCACUUAGAAGAUCCCCUCCCACCACAAAAGCCCCUUCCCCUUUUGCCAUUGCUGGAAAUAAAUAGCCAUAAUAUAGCUGGAAUUAAUACAGCUACACUGAGUCAACUAAGUGCUGAAUUUUUCUUUCCCAAUGCUCUCCGGGCACCCAGACGUGCUCAAUAGGAAGUGUUGGCACUUGGGGCUACGUAUAGAAAACCAGGGUGUGUGCUGCUGGGGCUGUUAGGGAGGAAAUCUUGUGCCAGCAGCCCUCUGCUGUGGGCCUUCUCCAAGCUUUGUCUCUAUUCCCUCAUUCCUCUGCAGAUGUCCUAAGCCACAUUUUGCUUUCAUUAUGACAAAAAUUGUGCAAGAUACUCAUCUUCUUUUAUUUAUAUAUAUAUAUAUUUUGUAGCAUUUCUGUGUUCCUACACCUUUUCUCUUUGCGGCAUCACUUAUGGACAUGUAAGUAGUAGGUUAGUUUCUAUUCUCACUCUGGGGGGUUGGGUUCCAAACUGUUUAUUGAGUAAUAAAAAGAGAAAAUGGCGAGUCAUUGCCCAGGGAUAAUGUGCUAAUAAUUUUAUGACUGGACAAAUGGUUGCAACAGCCCACAAAUGGCUGUAGGCAGGAAACCUGGUGUCUAUUGCUGACAGAGCCACCCCCAAGGAGAUAAAACCUCACUUUUGGUGAUCAAAGUUGAUGCAACAACUGUGAUCUAUUAAAAAUUACUUUGGAGAUGGGUAAGGCAAUCAUUAUUCCUCUUGGAGGAGAAGUGGCAGACAUAGACUUUUUGGGAAGUGUUUAGAAGUGAGCCCUACAUGGGAUGAAUGCAGCAGACCACCGUGGCUGCUUGCGCUCGGAGCCACGCGGCACGCAGCUGCAGGGCUGCAGGCUGGGGAUGCUUGGAGAAACAAAGAUUAAAGGGGGGUUAGUGCUAUCAGGCAAACACGAAUCAUCCCAGAGAUAACAAAGGGUUGAAGUUUAUUUAGCCACUAACCGUAUGGCACUCAAGUGCGUUAGCCUGGCUUGACUGCUGCAGAGCAUGGAGCCGGAAUGGCUGCUGCAGGGCGUACACCAGGAUACACCCUGUCCCACUCUGGGCUGAUGUCCCCUGUCUGAUUACUCAAGGAGGAUGUCCCCCUCCUGGCGAUGGGGCAGUUGUCCCAUCGGCACCAAUUUCUUCCCACUGUUGUGGAGUUUGGUGGGGAAGGAUGAGCAGGGCCCUUGUGAGGUCUCUCUCUGCCCAUCUCCCAGCAGGCAGGAGGAGCUGUACCUCUUCCAAACCCGCAGCAGAUCCAUCCCUCGAAGUGGGCAAGAAGCCAUGUGAUGGGGCGUAGCUGCUCGCAGCUGCCAAGACCUCACAUUUGUAUGUUAGUGAUGCAGAUAGGAUCUCAUAAACCCGUCUCCAUACUGCUUUACUGCUGAUUUAACGAUCAGAGGAAGAACUUGACUGUUUAUUAAAACAUUAGACAGUAAAGUUUAACAAUAGACAGUAAAGGGUUUUGUUUUUCCAUCCCUCUGAUUGUUAAAGCAACAACACAUAGGCCUGGAGAGGGGCCUGCUGCUAACCUCAGGAUGAUGGGAUGGGGCCAUGAAGCUCCUCCAGAAGGCAGGAUAGAGCAGCUGGCAUUCUGGCAAAUCCCAUAUCUGAAGAAGGAAAUCUGAUGUAGGGUAUGGGUGCGUGCCCCAUCACCGGAGGUGCUGAGGGCUGGGCUGGAUGGGGCCCUGGGCAGCCUGAGGUGGUGGGGGGCAGCCAGCCCAUGGCAGGGGUAGGACUGGGUGGGCUGUAAGGUCCCUUCCAACCCAACCAUUCUGUGAUUCUAUGAGUCUGACUGCGAGAAGGGGCAAUCCAAUUGCUCUGUGGGCAAGGGUCUCGUGGUAGGGCUCCUGUUGUUCAGCAGACCCACAAACACCGGCAAAGGGAGCAGAUGGAAACAAAACUCGCAAGGCAACAGCAUUAUUCAGGACAGUGCCAACGAAAGCUGACUGCGAAGAAACGCCGAAGGAUUGCAGCGUGCAGGUGAUGAAAUGGCAGAGGAAAUUCAUUGUUGGUAACUGCAGAUAGAGAAAAAUCAGCAGUGGCUGUACCCAUACAGCAGCACCAUCUCAAUGAGCUAUUGCCUCUCUGGAAGGAGGCUGUGGAGGCAAGGCAGGCUGUUUCUGGAAACGUCAGCAGUGAUCACAAAGGCAGUGGCCAUUCUAGGGGUUACGGAGGAAGAAAUGGAGAGUAAAACAGGCUGCCAUUGUGCUGCUGGGUGCAUCCACAGUGCAUCCCCAUCCGAGGUGCUGCCCCUGCUUCUGGUGGCCGUGUCUUGGGGCCAAGGGAAGAUGGAAGAGGAGUUACAGGGACUUCAUAGCAGGACCUCGAGAACUUGAGCUGAAGUGGACAGAUCUGGAGGAGAAGAUGAGAGGAAGAAAGCCCUGGGUGGCUUGGAGGAGUUGGACGUGGAGCUGGACAAGCAUCUGCUCUGUGUCUGUGCUGAUGCUAUUUAGAAACCCCAGCCUUGGCUCUGCUUGACAUUUGGUAAUGCUGAACUGGGACAGCACCCAAAAAACCCCAUCCGUGUUGGACCGUCAGUAAGAGGUGGCACAUCUGACCAAAACCACGUCGCCAUUUGCUUCCUUGACAGCACAUCCUACCUCAUCCCCUGUCCUUGUCCUGCUGACCCCCGUUCCCAGCCUCCCUUGCUCAAUUUCAGCAGCAUCCUGGGAGGCCCCUUCAGCUGCAAGCCCCUCGCUUGGGAAAGAAAGUGGGGUUGGAGGGGGGGGAUCAGAGCCCAGCUGUGGGCUGGGGCAGCAGGCGAGUGCUUUCCAAACGCUGACUGCUGUUGGUGUAUUUCUGCUGGUGAGGAUGCAGCUGGCAGCGUUUGUGUGCAUGCGUUUAUACACACACACACACACACACAGACUCACCUCCACACGAGUACACGACUAAAAUACAUAUAUUUCCUCACCCCGCAUCUUUCUGCAAGCUGCAAAAAUACAAAAGAAUAAAAUUAAGUCUCUUAUCGCUGCUAAGUCAUCAGAAACUAAUAUUGCAUCUACCGGGCAGUUUUCCCCCUCCCCCCCCCAAACCAUCUCCACUUCGCAAUCCUAAUUCAAUGAUUCUUUCUGUAGCUCUUUACAUUCUAUUAUUUAUAAGAAACAAUAUUCAGCCCUCCCCUGACAGUGUUUGCAGGGCUGCGGGAAGCAGUGCGGCAGAAAGGUGGUAGAACAAUUUUGGUUAUGUUUCCAUAGCUACCUAGCUGCUAAAUGUGGUUUAUUCCAUUUUAAAGUCAACCAACACACACCCGCACGCACACGCACAAACCACCAGAUGAAGUGUAUUCAAACUAAUCCCUGGGCUGCCUAUUACAGCCUAAUAUCCCUGCCAUUUGUAUAUUUAAAGGGAUAGUUGCUGCAGAAAUAAAUGGCAGGGCAGCGCUCUCGCUGGCUAGAGCAGGAUGAUCAACAUAUUGUUUCUUUCUUGCUCUCCUCUCCGACGUGUGUGUUCCACUCCAUCCCUGUAAUAUUAUUAUGGAGAUUUUUACCGAGGGCUGAGAGCUGAGGAAGUCGGAGGUAGGAUGGUGUCCUCUCGUGGCAGUCAGCAUCUCUGCAGCCUGAUGGUAGCCGUGCCAAGAGAGAGCCGAGCCUGGGCUCUCCUGGGCAUGCACUGCUGUCUUAGGGACAAAACUCUUGGAGCAGAGCUUCCCACCUCCCCUAGUGCACCCAAAGACGAGGAGCCUCCUGCUUCUGCUCCACGCCAGGCUGGAGGCUGCUGCUUGCUCUUGCUUUCCCUGCGUGAAAGAAGAACCCUUGGGAAAGGAGUGGUGGGUACCAGCUUUGCAGAGCGGAGGAAGUUUGUCCCAUGGAAGUGAGCAUCUCUGAGCUGCCGUGGGUUGGUGGAGAACAUCUCAGAGCUUGUAAUCAGUGCCUCAUAAAUCACCGCUGACUGCCGGGAUCGCUUUGGCCGCUCUUCCCCAUCGUCCUGUCUGCAGGAAUGGGCUGCAUGUUUCCACGUGGAUCGGGUCUGAAUUGGCUGUCUGAACCCAGAGAUUAAAGAAACAGCAGCCUCUCUCUCUCCUGUAACUGGCCCGAGAAUCCAUGAGCAUCCUCAGAAGUCUGAAGAGAAUGGGCAUCCUGUCUAUAUCCAAGGCAGGUAAUCACUGUAAAGAGACCCUUGAAGUGCUUGAUGGUGUACUGAGGAAGGUUCUUGGAUUCCAAGGCAAGAAGCAAAGCCACUUGGUAUGCUCCCUCCAUCGUUCCAGUGAUGUCACUCCCAAGGGCCAUGUGUGAUAGAGACCCACCUCGUCUGUGCGGUUAGAGCUUCCUCUUCCACUCAUCCCCAUCCUCAAGGCUAAAAGGCCCUUUGCUAAAUAGAAAAAAUACAAGCCUCGUGUCACUGAUAGUUUUAAAAUUAUAAUGGAAACCUUCCGUCAGUGGUGACACAAUUACCUGCCCAUUUUCCUGCUCCACCUCAUUAAAGGGAAAAUGUUACAAUUAAGGUACAGGCGGGAGGAACAGAUUAAUGUUCUGUUUCUAAUGCAUUGAUGAAUUGGCACUUAGUCAAGGGGUUUAAAAAUAUUAAACCCUCGCAAAAGCCGUCCCAAAAGAGAGUGUUCUCUGCUGAGGGGCACUUCUCAGUCUGGACUAUUGGUUAUCCAUAAUUCAUGUCAAGGGUAUGCAGUGGUGUUUGUAGUGGGAGUGGGAUUUGCUUAGAUUAGUCUGCUGGUGUUCCAUGGGGUGGCCAUGUGCUCCAUGGGGGAUCUUCUCUAGGUGUUUCCCUUCACAUAAAAUCAAAUUCUUUUUCAAUUUGUUCAGUGUAUUGUACAUAUAAUUGGACAUCAGCUGUUCUUAUUCUUGCUUUUCAAUCCCUUUUCUUUCCUUUUGGCAUGUCUUUGUUAGGCAUGGCUUUGUUCCACCGAAUGCAAAAUUGCUUCAGUUUUUUAUUCCUGUCUUCAUACCAGAUCCCAGCUGCAUGAAGGGGGUGAUGAGCCUGGCAGAGGCAUGGGCUGGGCCAUUGCCAGUCCCCAACCCCAGAUCCCAUUUGCCUUUGGGAACUCCCUGGCCCACCACCAGUGCCUCACCGAGGAGCAGCGUGCGCCUUCAGUGCACAGCCUGCACCUCUAAAGCUGCUCCAAGGGGGGGUAUGAAAAUCUAUACCCACAUUCUACACCCAACUCCAGCAUUUUCUAACCCAAUUUCAGAACCUUUUUGUGAUCUUGAGCUGAGACUUGGGGCCCGCCAUGCCCACAUUUGCUACACCGCCAGCAAGUCUCACCCCUCCUAUAAUGAAAAUGUCACUAAUGAUAAAUAUUUAUAGGGAUGCUUAUCUUUAUAUUUACUACCUUGACCUUUAUCUAUUUGGAUUUUAUUUUAAAUUUUAUGCAGCUUGCCUUUGCCUCUUCCCAGCCGUGUGGUGCCGCAGAGCAAGGAGCUCUGCAACGGCUCCGAGAUCGCUGCAUUAUAAAUACGUGCACAGUACAUACAAUUACAGAACUUUAAUGUCUGGUAUAAUUACUGUCUGCAGUUUGCAUUAAUGCUCAGGGUGAUAUAGUGAAGCAAGCGACUCAGACACUGCGAGAUGCACGUCCCGAGGGGCAAAGGAAAAUCAUUGCUUGCGAUCCUGCGAUUAAUUAUUGUGCCUUGUGUGGAGAGGCUGAGAUUUUUCCCAAGCACUUUCUUGCACCCACUGUUGAUUGAAAUGCCUACGCAGGAACGGCACUGCUGCGCAUAGCCUGCAGGCUGGGCUGUGCUUUAUAAGCAAGCAAAGGUCUUCAGUUUUAUUCUUGUAAUGUUGCAAGGGAAAACUGAGGAAAACAGCAGGAAUGAGGAGGAGAACGUGAGUCAGUGCAUCUUAAAAAGUGAUGUGUGCUCACUUGCAGGAGGCUUCCUCCAUGUAUCACCUGGCCCAGGACCCAGGAGGGUGUGCCAGGAGAUGCUGGGAGCUCGCUGUGCUGCAGAGUUUAUUAUUGUUAAACUUAAUUAAUCACUUAAUUGAAUGAAAUUAUUGAUGGAGUUCAGAAGAUCCAUGGGGGCAACUGGAUCAGAACACCAGGGAUGCUCCAGGCUGAGCUGUGCAGGGCACCGACCUGUCACAGCUCCAUGGGGUCUUUGGGUUGGAUGCCAGUGUCACUGCCCACCACAUGAAAUGGGCUGAAAAGUAAAGGGCUUGCUUGUCUGCAGCUUGUCCUUGCUACUGUGUGGGUGUUAGAGCAGUGCAAGAGCAUACGUGUGUUGCUGAUGGCAGGGAAAUCAACCACCUCGAAUCACCCACACCAAAAAAAUGAAUGAAAACUCACUAGGUCAGCCGUUAUUUUUCGGUCACAGUGGUGUCAGAUGUGAACCCUCAUGGCUAAAUGUGCAAUCACAGCAAUUGAGUGGGUUCUGCCCAUCAGGGGCUGUGAGAGCUGAUGGGAAGAAGGAGGGAGAGGAGCCCUGGGAAAUUCUGUGUUGUUGUAGAAGGACAAGGAUGGAUGACAGGCUGCCUCCGGGUAAGGAGAUAUCCCAGUGCCAGUGCUGGGAGGGCUGAGGACCGGAUUUAGCCAAGGAAGCCAACAGCUAUCAAGGAGCAGAGCAGAUCCUAUGGCCACCUGGAGAAGGGAAUUCCCAAGGGACUGGUGUCUGGAAGCUUUGGUUGAGUCCCAUGGAUGCUUUUCAUUUGAGGAAGAGGGGGGAAAAAAAAGGGAAGAAAUGAGAUAAUUGGCUUGAUUGGGCUUUGCUGAAAAUCUAGAAAAGAAAAAAGGGAAGAGAAAGUGCUGAGACAGCUCCUUUCUGUGUCUUUGAACUUCAGGCUUUGAAAAGAGGUGUGGAAAAGCUUAAGGAAUUAACAAGGACUACUGGGAAAUCACUCGGGUGGAACUUUCAGGGCUCUCAGCUCAGAAAGAAAUAGGAAGAAAAUCCUUUGUACAUACAUAUACACGCAUGCAUACACUUAGAUACAUAUGUAGGUGAGAGCGUGACCUCUUCAGCCUGCCAUUAAUCUUCAUCUCCAAUGUUUUCAUGCUGCAUUAAUGACGGGUGUUGUUGGCAGGGUGGCUGGAAGGGCAAAAGCUGCAUUUCCCCACGCUGGGGGCUGCGGAGGAGGCAGAGGCAGAUACCUGGGGCUCCCUGGCAGCGCUUGCUGAAGAUCAGCCUUGAUCAGAACAGGUCUUCUCACAGGAAACAUCAACUUUUUGUCAAAAAAGCCUGAAGAUAAAUAUUCUUGGAUGAAAACCUAUAAAAAGCUCAGACUGACAAACUAUUUUUUUUAGGCACUUCUUUUUCUCCCAACAAGAAUAUAUCUGUCAAGAGAAACAGAUGUUCUCUAUGAAGAAUCUUCUUUAAUUACAAGUCUGUCAAAAAGAGAAAUCUUCAAGUGUCUCAAGCCUCAAAUCUGCGAAUGGCUUCAGCCCUGGGCAAGAAAUCACCCCUUUCCUGAGCAGCCCCAGUGCCCUUUCUCAGCUCUUGUCAUGUCAUCCCUGCAGCUGCACCAAUAAACUGGGCAUUUUUGGAGUUUAGUUUUCAGAUGAGCCCGCUUCAAAUCAAUGGAGCUGCUGCUUUUCGUGACUCCUGGGAAUAAGAUGGCGUGGAAACAACCCACGGCCAUGCCCAAAUAAGAAAACUAAAAGAAUUAUUGGUUUUGGUCAACCUGGAACAUGGCUCUUUUUGCCCUGACAUUUUCCUAGAGGAAAGUGAAACUCUUCAUCUACAGAUUCAAAAAGUCCCAAAGGCACUCUGUCAGACAUCUCCCAACGUGCUCUCUCAGUUAUUGCUGGAUGGAUCAGAAGUUCUCCAGGGAGCAGUGAAGAUGUUUUUGCGGGCUACAAAACCUCAAAGGCUGAAAAUACUCAAUUCCAGUGUCUGCUUCUUGCUUCCAGAGGAGAUAUCUGCUCUUUGUCUUCAUCUUCAUCGUCAUCAUCUUUGUCUUUGUCUUCAUCUUUGUCUUUGCUUUGUCUUUGUCCUCCUUCUCCUUCUUUCUCUCUCUCCUCUUCCUCUUCCUUUUCCUCCUUCCUCCAGCUCCUAAAUCCCCACCUUCCCUUGACCCCCCCUCCUUUCCUUCUCCCCAUCAUGCAUUGCAUGCUGAAUGCAGGAGGCUCUCAAAGGCAAGAGUCGGCCUGGGACACUCUUACCCACAAUAGCAGUGGUGAACAGAACCCAGGUUUUCAGCCAGGAAAUUUCACUGGUAAUCUCCUGCGAGGGAGGCGCUCCCAUUUUUCAUGAUGGUUGGCCCUUGCGGGAUAUGGAUGAAAAGAGAAAGCAUUUCAUUUGCUCUUUGAAAACUGGAGCUAUAGAUCAAGGCCCUGCUCAGUCCCCUGAAGACUAGAAAUGGGAUUUUUGCAAGAAUUGAGGCUAUCCUCUCUGAAAACUAAAACAGUUAUCUACACUUUCAUCGAGAGGUCAGCAGUAGAGAUUUUUCUCCAACAGCUGGAUAAAUCCAGGCUGUUAGUGCCUCUCCUUCCCACUGUUCUCUGUUAUUGCUUUUCAUUACGUGAAGGGUGAGGAACAAGCAAAUACCUCUGCUUUCUAGCUUUGCCCUUGCCCGUUUGUACAAAGCAGCCAAACAUUUCCUUCUGACACUCAGGACCCAAGCACCUUUGGUGUCUGAUGUUUCUCCUUGGAUGCCAUGGUCUGGAUGCAGUUGCUCAGGGCUGCUUAAUCCUACCAGAUGGCAUAGAAAUGUUAUUUUUUGGACACAGGCACUCUUCUUGCCGGAUAUGGGUGCCACGGGACCAGGGCAUCCUUUGUCGCCUGGACCCAGUGUGAUCUCCUGUAACACUGGGCAGGAGGGUUUGCAGAAUCACGCUGCAUCCUGCGUCCCUGAGCCUUGCAGCCAUAAAUCCUUUGCCUCUGCCACAACUGUGAUUGAGCCUGCCUGGCUUAAUUUAUUUCUCCAGAGCCCACACAGUUAUGGUAGAGAUGAUUGCCUGCUCAAGGAGCAGCACUUGGGAUGAAAUCUUUUCCUCUUGAGAGUGCUGCUGGAAAAACAAGGCAGUGUCCGUGAGCUGCCAGCAAUCCCCAUGUAGGCAUUGUCUUUGCUUGGCCACUUCUUUGCGGUGCUCUCAUCCUUCCUGACCUCUCCCCUUCUCUCCCUUCCUUUAAGUCCUUUUCUCUCUGUUUCAUUUCUACCUAUGUCUCUUCCUCUUCAGGUUCCUCGCUAGGCACUGGAGCUGAUUGCAGUGGUGAUCCAGCAAAUCACAGUAGUGAUGCUGCUGAUGGAAUAACUCCUUGGGGUUCCACACGGUUGCUGUGCGGGCACUGAGUUUCAAACUGCAGAAAAGGAGCAGGAAAGCCUGAUAUUUGGGUGCAUCAACUGGAGCUUUCAUCCCCACCCCAGGGAGAUGGGUUUUGGAGCCCUAGCAGCCUGCCCACCCUAUGGACAUGGCCAGAUACCCCCAGUUCCUUCCCAAGCACUGCUACCCAGAGAGGUGCUCUGUCCUGGCUAUGGGAGUUGAGCACGAAUAACUCACAAAUAAUGGAAAUCCCCACCAUGUGCCCCCAGCAUUGGCACGGCUCAGGGCCCUGCAAGAAGCGCGCUGCCUUGUUUGUCACCUGAAGCACUUGGAAAAAUUACACAAAUCCAUCAAUGUAAUGAAUCUUCUCAGCAGUGGCAAAUAGACAGAGACAGACAGGCACUCAGCUGAAACAAGUCAUCUUUAAAAAUUAAUACAAAAUAAACAGCUGGCCUUUCGCUCCGCUUCCAGGUGGUGGCUGCGUGGUUUGGGCGAGGGCUGGGCAGGGACCAAUGAUGGUUCCCAAUGGGAUCACGUCCCUGGGGCAGGGAAGUGUCCUCUGCCGUGUCCCUGUCACUGUCACAGUGUCACCUCCAUCUGCUGCUGCUCCAGGAAUGGUGGUGCAGCGCGGCAGUCAGUGUUGCACUGCAUGAGUGACUGCUUAAGAAACAGCCAAAUCUUUGGGAAUGCCAAAGCCUCAUCACCUCCCUACAGCCUUGCCAGGCUUCUGCCAGCCCUCUGGGCUCUCACAUCAGUUUGUCAGUGUCUGAUGGAGCUUGUACACUCCUCAGAGGACAGGCUGAGCUUGCUCUCCUGCUUGUCACGAUGUGGGCUCCAUAAAUAAUUAACAGCGGUGCUGCUUCUGCCCUCGAGCUUUCAUUUCAUUACCCAGGAAUAACAUACCCACCUAUAUACGUGUGUAUGUACAUGUCUGCGUGUAAUACGCAUCCAUAUGUACUUACAUUGCUUAAACAUCUGUUUCACCGGCCAGCCUCUCUGCUUUUCCUUCGGCCAUUGCUCUGUCUCCCUGCUGGUCCCAAGGGCAGGCAAGCAGCAGAAGGCGCUGCUCUCGACCGUGAGCAUCCCACCAGUGCUCCAGCUGCUCCUGCUCUGAGGCCAGGCUAUUUAUGAGGUACCAUGGGGCUGCCCUUGCCCUGCAGAGUGUGGGGAUGGAGAGCGGGGAGGAAGACGGAUGGAUCCUGAAUUGAGGUGAAUUUAUGGGGCUUUGCGAUUCCUGCUGCUGUAUGUCUCCGAGAAAUGACACCGCCACUUCAGGAGCAGAGAUUAAUCUGAGCCGGCAGGAGAAGGACAAAACAAAUCAUCUACUGCAGGAAUCUCAUUUGAUGCCUGUUAGUAAAAGCACUGCGAUGAAUGGCUUUUGUAAAGACCACGUAGUACAGGCUUUUUUUUUUUCCUCCCUUUUCUCCAUUCGUCUGCAAAUUGAGGUCUGUGAGGUGUGUGGUGGAGGCACCCCAGGGUCACUCAUGGCCAGGCACAGGACAAGGACUCCCAGCAGCUUUGUGCACUGUGAGACAGGAGAGCAAAAAAGGGAAGGCAGAGCUCCCAGCGCAUCGUACCCAAGGAAGGAAUCCUUCGCUUUUGUUUUUAAAAGGGCAUUGAUUCUCACGUCCUGCAGAACACGGGGUCGGGGCAGCCUGCAGCCCCAGACAGAACAUCCCAGUGCUGCUCUGCAUCCCAGCCAGCAGCAGCUGGAUGCGGCCCAGUGGGAGCAGUACCAGCACCGAGCACUCCUCCCGCACGCCGCUGUGCAUCCCAGCUCAAUACAGAAUCAAUUGGAUUGAUCUUUUUUUAAGGUGCAGCCUCCGAACGGCUGAGACUGUGAGAGACGUGGCUAAGCACGCACUUCCACAAAAUAAUUUGUCAGGCCCCGCUGUAGAAACCUAAUGAUGGCUGUAAUUUAUUGCUGACAGACGAUAUUUAUCACCGCAGCAUCCCCUCUUUCUCUUCCUCUGUCUCGUUAGGAAUGGCAUCAAUAAUGUUUAUUGUAGCUUUUAAUUUUUUAUCGCUGGUAUUCUUACCUGUGCUGCUGAGGGCUGCAGGAGAUGGGAAAGGCGUCAGAGCAGAUGGAGGCUCAGCUCUGUGCUGAAGGGUGAGCGAUGAAGGCUGGAAGUUCCUCCUGCGUGCCCAUGCAGGGAGCGUGCAGUGCCAGAGAGCACCCCGGUAGCAGGGAAAAGUGAGCUGUUCCCAUAAAGCUUACUCCCUCUCUUCUGAGCCUUUGGACCUGUGCAAGGGAUGCUCAGACCCAGCAAAGCGGUGGCAUUGCUUUGGUUUUCCCCAGAUGCUGCUCCCACGUGGGGCUGGAGAAGGAACAUCACCCCUCCGCUGCUGCACCUGCAUUGCUGCGAUCAUCUCACACCUGAUGAUGCCCACAAGCCCUGUGGUCACAGUUCUUGUCCCUGAAAGCAACCAAAACCCCAACUCCAAUCCUGAAAUCUCCUUUUUUUCCCCUCGUUUUCCUACAGUUUUUCCUACCCUUGAGGAAAUGUGCUGCACCAGGUUUUGAUGCCCUAUAAACCAGCACUUCCCAGAGGGGAUUUCUUCCCCCUUUCCAGACGUGAAUAAUUACCCAGGCAGAGGCUGUUCCAGCCUCGUUACAGGAGCCUCUCAGACUAGCCGGUCAUUUACAGAUUAGAUAGAUGUUGCCCACGUUGUUCAUAACUGAUUAUGGGAUUGGCAGUUUGGCUCUCACCCAAAAUUCAGAGUCCUGAUUUAGCAUAAUUGGAAGUGAAUGGCGGAGCAGGCUGGGGGAUGGGGAUGGUGCCUGCUGCUGAUUUCCUAAUGCCGGCUUUGGGGAUCCCUGACAAGCUGCGGAGUGCUCUUUAUAGGGCAAUAACGUUUACGGUGUGGGUUGUCUGGGGGAGGAACUCCUGUGAUGGCAGCAGCCACCUCCUGCACGUCCCAGAUCGAAGCUGGAGAAAUCAAGAAUACCAGAAGAGCAACGAGGAUGAUAUUAAAAAGUAAUCCCUUCUGUGUCAAGGUGUGGGCUUUUUUGCUUAUAGAAAUUGUUCUUCUGCAUUAAUCUAUUCUACUUUGUGCUAUCCUGUCCUUUUACUGACUUCUGUUCCUCCCUUAGUUUAUCCCACUAAAUGUUGGCGUUCCCACUGUUGACCCUUCAUGCACCCAUAGCCUUCCUUGCACUUAUUCUCACAGCCCCUCUCUGCUGGAGGCUCCAAGAGCACAGUGCAAUCCAUUGUGCAAUCCACAAUGCAAUCCAGUUUGUCC